UACGAAGGGGGCUAGCGUUGCUCGGAAUCACUGGGCGUAAAGCGCAUGUAGGCGGAUUGCUAAGUCAGGGGUGAAAUCCUGGAGCUCAACUCCAGAACUGCCUUUGAUACUGGUGAUCUUGAGUCCGGGAGAGGUGAGUGGAACUGCGAGUGUAGAGGUGAAAUUCGUAGAUAUUCGCAAGAACACCAGUGGCGAAGGCGGCUCACUGGCCCGAUACUACGCUGAGGCACGAAAGCGUGGGGA
rnacentral:rRNA from 1 species